CCCUAGCCCUGAUGGGAACGGCAUCCUUUUCCUUUUUUCUUUAAAAAGGAAAAGAUACAGUGUACUGCAGGAAAUAGC
rnacentral:sRNA from 1 species